UAUGAUCCAGAGUACCACGGGACACGUGAAACCCUGUGGGAAGCAGGAGGGACCACCCUCCAAGGCUAAAUACUACCUAGUGACCGAUAGCGUAUAGUACCGUGAGGGAAAGGUGAAAAGAACCCCGGGAGGGGAGUGAAAUAGAACCUGAAACCCUGCACUUACAAGCUGUGGAAGCACAUUUCUUGUGUGACCGCGUACUUUUUGUAGAACGGGCCAACGAGUUACGUUAAGUAGCAAGGUUAAGCACUUAAGGUGCGGAGCCGUAGCGAAAGCGAGUUUUAACUGAGCGUUCAGUUACUUGACGUAGACCCGAAACCGGGCGACCUACCCAUGAGCAGGAUGAAGCGAAAGUAAAAUUUCGUGGAGGUCCGAACCCACGAGCGUUGAAAAGCUCGGGGAUGACUUGUGGGUAGCGGUGAAAUUCCAAUCGAGCCCGGAGAUAGCUGGUUCUCCCCGAAAUAGCUUUAGGGCUAGCCUCAAGGUGAGAGAUACGGAGGUAGAGCACUGAAUGUCCUAGGGGGUAUUGCACCUACCGAAGACUAUCAAACUCCGAAUGCCGUCAUCUUAUACUUGGGAGUCAGACUGUGGGUGAUAAGAUUCAUAGUCGAAAGGGCAACAGCCCAGAUCGUCAGCUAAGGUCCCUAAAUGUAAGUUAAGUGGUAAAGGAUGUGGGAUUGCACAGACAACCAGGAUGUUGGCUUAGAAGCAGCCACUCAUUCAAAGAGUGCGUAAUAGCUCACUGGUCGAGUGAUCCUGCGCCGAAGAUUUCCGGGGCUAAAACUUACUACCGAAGCUACGGCAUCAGUAAUGAUGGGUAGGGGAGCUUCCCAUACGGGUUGAAGCAUGACCGUAAGGACAUGUGGACAGUAUGGGAGUGAGAAUGUUGGCAUGAGUAGCGAGAUGUGGGUGGGAAUCCCACAGGCCGUAAACCCAAGGUUUCCAGGGGAAGGUUCGUCCGCCCUGGGUUAGUCGGGACCUAAGCUGAGGCCGAAAGGCGUAGGUGAUGGACAACAGGUUGAUAUUCCUGUACUACCGAUAACCGUUUGAGAGAAGGGAUGACACAGUAGGAUAAGCUAAGCACACUGUUGGUUAUGUGUGCCCAAGCAUUGAGGCAGUCAAAGUAGGCAAAUCCGCUUUGAUAAUGCUGGGAUGUGAUGGGGAGCGAAAUUUAGUAGCGAAGUAGCUGAUUUCACACUGUCAAGAAAAGUCUCUAUCGAGGUUAAAGGUACCCGUACCGCAAACCGACACAGGUGGGUGAGGAGAGUAUCCUAAGGCCAGCGAGAGAACUGUUGUUAAGGAACUCGGCAAAAUGACCCCGUAACUUAGGGAUAAGGGGUGCCACCAUCAGGUGGCCGCAGAGAAUAGGCCCAAGCGACUGUUUACCAAAAACAUAGGUUUCUGCUAAGUCGCAAGACGAUGUAUAGGAGCUGACGCCUGCCCGGUGCUGGAAGGUUAAGGGGAUCUGUUAGAGCAAUCGAAGCAGUGAACUUAAGCCCCAGUAAACGGCGGCCGUAACUAUAACGGUCCUAAGGUAGCGAAAUUCCUUGUCGGGUAAGUUCCGACCCGCACGAAAGGCGUAACGAUUUGGGCACUGUCUCAACAACAGACUCGGUGAAAUUGUAAUUCCGGUGAAGAUGCCGGAUACCUGCGACAGGACGGAAAGACCCCAUGGAGCUUUACUGUAGCUUGACAUUGGGUCUUGGUACUACAUGUACAGGAUAGGUGGGAGGCUUUGAAACCAGGACGCCAGUUUUGGCGGAGCCAUCCUUGGGAUACCACCCUUGUAGUACUGGGACUCUAACCAUAGGCCAUGAAUCUGGUCUUGGGACACUGUCAGGUGGGCAGUUUGACUGGGGCGGUCGCCUCCCAAAAGGUAACGGAGGCGCUCAAAGGUUCUCUCAGUACGGUCGGAAAUCGUACGUAGAGUGUAAAGGCAAAAGAGAGCUUGAUUGCAAGACAUACAGGUCGAGCAAGGAUGAAAAUCGGACUUAGUGAUCCGGUGGUUCUGCGUGGAAGGGCCAUCGCUCAACGGAUAAAAGCUACCCUGGGGAUAACAGGCUUAUCUCCCCCAAGAGUCCACAUCGACGGGGAGGUUUGGCACCUCGAUGUCGGCUCAUCACAUCCUGGGGCUGUAGUAGGUCCCAAGGGUUGGGCUGUUCGCCCAUUAAAGUGGUACGCGAGCUGGGUUCAGAACGUCGUGAGACAGUUCGGUCCCUAUCCGUCGCAGGCGUAGGAAAUUUGAGAAGACCUGUCCUUAGUACGAGAGGACCGGGAUGGACGUACCUCUGGUGUACCAGUUGUCCUGCCAAGGGCAUGGCUGGGUAGCUAUGUACGGAAUGGAUAAGCGCUGAAAGCAUCUAAGCGCGAAGCCAACUUCAAGAUAAGAUUUCCCACCGCAAGGGUAAGACCCCAGAAAGACUAUCUGGUUGAUAGGUCGAAGGUGUAAGUGCAGCAAUGUAUUUAGCUUAUCGAUACUAAUAGGUCGAGGACUUGACCAA
rnacentral:rRNA from 1 species